UAGGAUGAGUAGUAUUUACUAUAUUAUUAUACUAUUAUAUUGGGCAAAAUAUUUUGGGGCAAUGCGUUGACCCGAACUGGCGGAUUUACCAAAAUUGAAACUCCAGCAGUUGGUUAAGGCUGCUGUUGGGGUGUGUUGUGUCUUUAAUCUCCAAAUUGGAGAAAAACUGAGUCUUUUCAUGUCCAAAUCGAAGAAAAACAGAGUUUUUCAUGUCCAAACCGAAGAAAAACUGAGAUUUUUUUGUCCAAAUUGGCAAAAAAACGAGUCUUUUCGUGUCUAAAACUGAGAUCUUUUGUGGCCGAAUUGGGAAAAAACCGACUCUUUUUGUGUCCAAAUUGAAGAAAAAACUGAGGUUUGUGGUCUCUGAAUCGAAGAAAAACUGAGUCUUUCUCAAUCAUCAGAGAAAACUGUAGCAUGGCAAUUAUUGAUGAUAUGAUACAGCAGAGGAAAUCCAAUUGCCAUGGUCAGCAGGUGAUGAUGAUGAUGAAGAAGAUGAAGUAUUCGAUUGCAAAUAAAUAAAAUUAAGGCUAAAUAUUUAAUGAGAAAUAGACGAAAAGCUGCUCCUAAGUUUAUUCGCCAACAGAAGAAGAUGAAAGCAGGACCAGUCCUUCAAAUUUGCAAAGGUAUACAUACAUACAUACAUACAUUUUUUUUUCACUUUUGCUUGAUUGUUUAUAUAAUAAUAUAUUACCGAGGAUAGGAUCUUAUAUAGAAGCUUAUAGAGGUUGCGGAUUAGGCUAGAAGGUUAGCAGGUAGUUGAGUGAGGUUUGGCUUUUUGGUAGGGUACUGGGGUUUGGAACCACACAAGUGAUAAAAGAGUUUUAAAUUAUUAGUUGGAGGUGACAAUUAGUUUAUUAUGGAUUAAGAAAGUUGGGGAAGUUUGAAAACAACCCACAAGUUUUUAAAUUUAUACUUUGAUUCCAAUGUAUAUCUAAAAUAAUGGGAAACGGAAGGAAAAAAAAAUGUCUUUCUCUCUCUUCUCAUCCAUUGUUAUUUUCUCUCUUUUAGCGAUUUUUGUUGUUCAUUGUUUCUAUUUCGACUGCUUUAUUCAUCAUCUUCUGCUUCAUUAUCAUCAUCUUCUACUUCAUUAUCAUCUUCAUCUUCUUCUUCUCGAUCAUUUAUUGUUGUUGUUGUUGUUGUUGUUGGUACAGCGCUACUGCUGCAAUCUGACCAAUUUCUUAGGUCAAAUUUUGUUUACUACAUCACUUUCCACUUUGGCAUUACUUCAUAGGUGACUUUGGUAAGUAAAAUUAUGAUUUUUAUUCGUAUUUGUCAUCUAGGUACACUUUUGUUUUUCCAACAAUUGAUAUAACCGACCUGUUGCAACGGAUGAGUAAACCGUUGAAAAGAAUAAAAACAGUCCUAAUCUAUUGCAAAAUGAAGAGUAAACCGUUGGAAAGAAUAAAAACAGAUCACUAAUCAGUUAUCUGUUGGGUCAAUAUUUUUUAGAUUUCUUCCAAACAGAAGAGUCGUCUAUCGCAACAGAUGAAUGAUCUGUUAGAUUGUUCACCUGUUGCAUCAGAUUUUCAUCUGUUGCAUCAUAUGUUUCAUCUGUUACAUCAUAUGUUUCAUCUGUUGCAAUACCAUUUUUACCAAGACAAACAACAAAUCAACCCAGCAACACCAACACAUCACACACACACACUAAGAACAUCAACUGUGAUAAAAAAUCACCAAUAAAUUCGAAUCAACAGUACGACAACAAGAAGAAGAAAUGCCAGAAAUUAGGAUUUUAUUCAGUCCACAUUUUAAUGCUAGAAGAGUAAUUGGCUCAAGUUCCUCUAUUUCUUCAUAAUUUUUUACCUAUGAAAAAGGAAAUGGGACGACGAAGAAUUCGAAGUUGUUGUCGCCAGAGAAGUCUUCACGUUGAUUGACGAUUAAAAGUCGAAAAGAAACUCACCCGACUAUUUGUCGCCGGAGGUUGAAGGGAGAAAUUUUACAGAACUAUUGGUUGGAGAAAGUUGAGAGAAGCUGGAGAGAGAGAAUGAUUGAUUUGGAUUGAAGAGGGGUGUGGGUUGGGUUGAUUUGUAUUUUUGAAAAAAUUAGAAAGUUUUGAAAAUAUUAAUAAAGUCCACAAUUAACUUAAUCAAGUUUCCUAAUGAUGUUUGAUCCUUUAAGUUGGUCAAUGUCACCAAUCCUUCAUUCAAGACUUAAAAGACACCUUUUCUUCAAUUUUCUCGAGUUACCUGGUAUCCCGUAGGUUUAGUCGAGUCCUGGAGACCACAGUUAAAACAACAACAUUUUCAGUGUAUUCCCACUUAGUGGGGUCUGAGGAGGGUAAUGUGUACGAAGACCAUACCACUACCUCAGGUGAAGUAGAGACUAUUUUCGAUAGAUCUCUGGCUCAGGACAGAUAACAGUAUAACAAACACAAAACAUAAAAGCAUAUAAACUAAUAUAGUAUGCAAAAUAAACUAACACUGCUAGCUAAUACAGAAAAUAAUACAACCACAAGAUAAUACUAUAAACUAUCUAUUCAAAAUCAUAGAUAUCACUUAAACACCACGAACAGAAAACUCUAGACGCAAAGAGAGCACUCUUCCCUACUGUUACAGAUGUACUCUUACACCAUAACCCUCUACUUUAAUCCGCGUCCUCCAUACCUUCUUAUCAAGGGUCAUGUCCUCUGUAAGCUAUAACUGCUCCAUAUCAUGCCUAAUCACCGUCCUCCAAUAUUUCUAUGGCCUACCGCUACCCAUCUAAAACCGUCCAUAGCCAGCCUCUCACAACUCGGUACUAGAGCAUCCGAGACCCUCCUCAUCAUACCUCUGUACUAAAGCAGUUUGUUUAUUUUUUUUCAUCAUCUUCAUUAAAAAUCUAAGGUUUCUUUGUUACAUGUGCUUAAUUCUCAAAAUAAGGACGACCUCGACUUUCAAAGGUUUUGUAAUUUACUUUUUAAUCUGUAUUUUUUUCUCGAUUGUACUCUCUCUUAUAUAUUGUUAUACAUAGCUAUGUUAUGUGUAAGGGUAAAGACACACUUUUUUGGGGAGAUUUGCUGUAAUUUCUAUUCCAUAUACAUUGAUACGCAAUGUAUAUGGUUGACCCAUUUUGCUAUUUAUACAUGCAAGGUUAUGUGUAAGGUUAUGUAUAAGGUUUGUCAGCGGUAUGUAUAUGACUUGAAGAAUUCUCAUUUUAUAUGCAUAAGGGUUAUGUAUAAGGGUUGUCUGUGUUAUACAAUUUAUAUGGUUUGACCCAUUUUUCAAAUUUUUCCUGCAGUUAUGUUUCACCUUAUACUUAGACAUAUUAUGUAUAAGUAUAUGAUUUACUAGGUUUAUCUUAUACAUUACUACAAUUAUGUUUCACAGUUUUUACAUUACUAAUUUAGUAUAUGUGCUUUGCACGUGAGAUUAGACAAUGUCAAUUUUGUAUGUACAUUCUUUCUACACUUAGGGAACAACAAUAAUAAGAAUAAUUAAAAAAUAUUUGAUAUUUUUCGACUACUUCAUUCGACAGCAACAUGUUUGUUUCAUCAAAUUUCAAUUCAAAAUAUUGUAAUUGAAAAAAAAAAACAAGAAAUGAUUAAAAGACAAGAAUUUAUUGUCAAAUUUCACUUGAAAGAGAAACACGAGAAAUUAUCAAUAGGAGAAAAUCCAUUUUAAACUAUUAAUUAUGUAUAAUUUCUAUAUAUAUAAUCUUUAAAGUCAAUAAUAAAAAAAAAUAAAGAGAAAUAGAAGAAACUAUGAUAAUGAAUAAAUCGAAGAGCAACUCGAAUCAAAAUUAAAAAUUAAUUAGUAGAAGUAGAAGUGUGUAUGUUUGAAAUUCUAGUAUCACAUACAAUUCACUCCUACUUCCUUUAUGAAUAACGAAUCCACGUUCACAAGUAUUUUCUCUACAAUUAUACAAUAACAUAUUCAUUAUAUUCACACAAAGUGUGAAUUAGGAAGGAUAAAGUGUAGAAAGAUUGUUUUCGAUGCACUCUGGAUUCAGGAGACAAACUCUCUAAUUAUACUAAUUUGUAUUUUCCUUUUUCAAUGCUAUUUUAAAUUCUUUAUAUAUAAUUUAAGUAAAAUAUAUAUAAGGUAAACUUCUAGUGAUAUUUUAAAUAUUUAGGACAUAAGAGUUCAAAUAUGAAAAAAAUUAUGCAAAUAUUACCAGGUUUUUUCUUUCACAUAUCUUCUUUUCUUUAUUUAUUCCUUUUUACGUAAUUUUUCUUCUUUUUUCUCUAUUCUCAUUAGUCUUUCCUUUUUGCAUAUCUUGUAUCAUAUGGAUACUUUUAACUACGGAUAAUACUCAUAAAAAUAUCUGAACUUUGAUCGAAUUUUUAGUUGAGCAUAUUGAACUUUACGGGGGGUCCUAUUACCCCCUAGACUUUUUUUUUCUUCGUAUUUUAAUGACAUAUAUCUACCCACUUGGACGUGUAAAUAUGAGGUUGGCGUGUGUAUUACACGCGCCAAUACACGUGUAAAAAUUAGAUUGGCACAUGUAUUAUACCGCCAGCCGCCGAAACUGGGUAUAGAGUUUCGGGACGGGAAAUUAAAUCCACUUUAAAAAGUUUAAGGAGGUAAUAGGGUAAUAGGAUCCCCGUAAAGUUCAGUAUGCUCAAUUGGAAAUCCGGUUAAAGUUCAGGUAUUUUUGUAAGUAUUAUCUUUUUAACUAAGGAUAGUAUAUUUUUUAAAAGUUGUUUGAAUAUAUCACAUUUAAUUUUCUACGUAAAGGACCUAAAAUAACUGACAACACAAGCGGAGCCAAAAUUAAAUCUAAAAGAAUCCAAAUUGAGAAAAUAUUAACUACACGUAACAUUAAUUUUUAUUUUAAAUAAAGUUUAAAUCAUUUUUUGCUUGGUUUUACAAAUUAAGUUGCCUAUUAGAAAUACAAUUGGAGUAUCAUCUAUAAUAUAUUAAAAGUGUAAAGGGCCUUAGAAAUGUUGUUUGAACUUUUUGCCCUUCAUUAAAAAAAUUUUAUUUAGACAAAAUCGUUUUUUCACUAUUUUUUCCUAAUAUUUAACAGUUAAAAAUUAAUUAAAUUAUAUUUAUGAUAAAACUUGUUCUUAUUAGAAGUCAUUAGAAUUAAUGACAACUAAUACCUUUUUUAUUAGUUUAAGAAUUUUAACUCAAUUAAAUUUGAUUUUAAUAAAAAAUUCUAAAAUAUAUAUGGUAGUUGUCGUUUUUAAUUACACAAUCAUAGAAAUGUGAUUUUCUAUUUUCAAGAGCCCUAAAAUUCAACUUUCAUGCUACAGACAUGAGAUUCGGUGGCGGAGGUAGAAGUUAAGAAUUAUGUUAAUUGUUGUUGAGUGAAUGGUUGCAGCAUUGGCUAAUAAUCAUUAGAAUUAAAAUUUCUAUUCAUUUAUCUUGAUAUUUAUUUUUUGCAUAUUUGUUACCCUUUUUCUUCAAUCCCGGUUAGUUUGUUUUACUUUGUUUGCUAAAGGUUCCAAGUUUGUUUUAAUUUAAAUAUAUUAUUUAAUGUAUUUAUAUAUCUAUAAUAUAUUAAAAGUGUGUAGACCCUUAAAAAAGUUAUUUGAACUUUUUGUCCUUCAUUAAAAGUCUUUGCUUUAAGCAAAAUAUUCAUUUUACUAUAUAUUUUAAUACUUUAAUAAAUAAUAAUUUAAAAUUAUAUAUAAAAUUUUCCUUAUUUAAAUUGUAUAACUAAAAUUUAGGAGCUCGAAGCUAAUUAGAAUUUUACCUUUUAUUAAUUCUUUUUAUAGCAAAACACAUGAAUUAUAUAGUAUUAACUUCAUAAUACACGUAUGUUUUACUUAUUUUUUUUCACUUAUUCUAUCAUUAUAUUUAUCUAUAUAAUCUAUAUAAUAUACUAAAAGUAUGAAGAUCCUUAGAAAAGUGAUUUGAACUUUUUGCCCUUCAUUAAAAUAAACUUCAAUAGACAAAAUCGUCUUUUUGAAUUUUUUUCUCCGAUUAAUUAAUAUAUAAAAAAAUAUUUACUAUUAUAGCUAAGAAUGGAGGAAAAGGAAGGUUUUCUAAAAAAAAAAAAAAAUUGGACUGCUUGUCGGCUAAAUUAAAGGGGAGGAAAAAAAUAAUUUUCUACACCAAAAAAUAAAUGAGUCCGGUCCAAAGUUUGCUAUUGUAGUUACAUGGGAAAACAAGUUCGAAAAGUAGGAAUAUAUGGAAAAUCCUACUAAAAUAUUAAUUAGUAUCCUGUUUGGUUUAUAAAUUUUCUACUUCUAUAAAAAGUAUUAUACUUUCAGAUUCUUCCUCAUUGAUGUUACUCAAUUUUUUUAUUAUCAUAUUGUUUUGUGGUAGUUUAAAGAUUAUUGAUGAAUGUCGCUUUGAGGAAUUUUUUUGUGUGUAAAAGUUAGGUUUUAAUUGUAUUAUUUUGAUAUCAUUUUAUUGUUUGUUAUAAUUUACGGGUGGUCGAUGAAUGUCGAUCAGCUUUGAAGAACUUUUUGUAAACGUUAAGUUUAAUUGUAUUAUUUUGAUAUUUUUAUUAUCAUACCUUUUUGUUGUAGUUUACAAAUGGUAAAAGAAUGUCAGCCUGUUUUGAGGAAUUUAUUUAGGUAAAGAUUAGGUUAAAUUAUAUUGUUUUGAUAUCUUUAUUAUCGUAUUAUUUUGUGACAGUUCACAGGUCGUUGAUGAAUGUCGAUCGACUUUGAGGAAUCUUUUUGUGUAAAGGUUAGGUUUAAUUGUAUUAUUUUGAUAUUUUUAUUAUUGUAUUGUUUUAUGAUAGUUUACAGGUCGUUGAUGAAUGUCGAUCGACUUUGAGAAUUUUUAUUGUGUAAAGAUUAGGUUUAAUUAUAUUGUUUUGAUAUCUCUAUUAUCGUGUUGUUUUGUUGUAGUUUACAGGUGUCGAUGAAUGCUGGUCAGCUUUGAGAAUUUUGUGUAAAGGUUAGUUUAUAAGUGAUAGAUGAAUGUCGAACAACUUUGAGAAUUUUUUUAAGUAAACGUUAGGUUUAAUUGUAUUGUUUUGGUAUUUCUAUUAUCAUAUUAUUUUGUGGUAGUUUGCAGGUUGUAAACAAAUGUCAAUCGGCUUUAAAAGAAAUUUUGCAUAAAGAUUAGUUUAUAAAGAUUAGUUUUAAUUGUAUUGUUUUAAUAUCUAU
rnacentral:lncRNA from 1 species